rnacentral:lncRNA from 1 species
UAAGAUAGAAAAAGGCUGAAAACACAAUAAGAACAGAAAAUAGAUUAGAUAAUGAUUCAGCACAAGUAGAAAUAAAGAAAGAAUUGACAGUAAGAAAUUAAAAGAUAAGUCCUAAGAAGCCUUGAAAUCUCGAAAGAUCUCACAACUCCCUUCAAACGGCUCUAAUCUCCCCUCCAAAGAAUAUCAAUGGCAAGAAGAAGGUUGAAGAUGGCCCCC